UGAAAUCAAAUUGGCCAUAAUUGCGAUGUAAUUGGCCAAUUGAUUUUCAACUUGGCUAAAACUUAAAUGAAUUGGCCAAAUUUCCAAUUACAUAAUCUAACCAAUACCGAAUUAAACCAAUUUCGGCCAGUUUCCUAAUUAAACCAACUAUCAGCAACAGUAACCCAACACAAUAACAAUUUCAAUCGGCCCAAAUAGUCUGACCCGGCCCAGCACUAAAUCCCCUUUUCUCCUUCAUCAUCAAUAAACAAUAGGAGCAAAACAAAAAAAAAAAUGUACAAAAACUUUCAGUUAACACCUAUCAGCCAACAACGACUUCAAUUCCAUUGACCAUAAGCUCCGUCAACGCCGGAUGCCAACAGCUGAAACAUCACUGGCUAUUUUAGUGACGCGAAACCAACACCAGCCCAAAGAACUCAACAGGGAAAUCCUACCCGUUAGAAACCCGAUUUCAAUUUCAACCCGAAUCUUCCUCAAUAUCCACCUCAGCCUCUAAAGUGGCAAAACUGGGGUUGUAUUUCGAAGGUUCUAGAACCCAUGACGUGUCUCCGUACUCAUCUUUUAGGUUUUAUCCGUUGGUUCAAAAAUUUGAAUUGGGAAUAAUUCAUACAAAGAGGGUAUCUUUCUUUCUAGCUGGGGGCUGGUCCUCAUAUUUUUCAAUGGUAUUUUUCAAAAUUCCCUAAAAUUCCCCUAAAACUCUUUGUCCCAUAUCGAUGGAACGUGAAAUCCAUCCCCAUUUUUGUUUUGCUAUAAAUAGCUCAUCCAUGAGCCAAAAAUAACAAGUCUUGAAGGCUAAAAAAUCAAGCUAUCAAGCAAACCCCUUUUUAGUAAAAAAUAUUCUCAAAAAGUUAUCGAAAUCAUCGGAGUAGCGGAGAAGUCUUUCCGAUGGGGAUCGAAACUAGUUGUUUUGCUGCCCGUAAAAGGAGUCCAAACGGACUCUUUCCCUUUGCAUUCUAUAAUGGGUCAAUGAGGCCCACUUUUUAGAAGACUUUUGAAAGACACGAUCUCAUGGCGUGUGGAUACGAACAAUUGGAAGAAGAAAAAUGGGCUAAAUCCCAUCUUUGAAGCGGCUAAGAGACUUGAAAGUCUCGUUUUUUAACUUAUUUGUUUAUUUAUUUAGUCUUUACUUAUUUCUUUAUUUCAUUAUUCAUUCAUUUGGACCUCGACGCCAAAGUUGUAAAUUUAAUAUAGGUGAAGCAAGUUUUGGGCCAAAAAAGCUCAAAAACAUAGAUUAGGAUAGGUGAAAAAUGAGUCGAAAGUCCAAUUAGAUUGUGACAGAUUUCGUUCAUUUUGGCCCAAUGGUCUGUCUUUUACUUUCUUCCCCCUUUCCCCUUUUAUGUGUUUAUUUGCUUAUUAAUUUAUUUAGACUUAGUUAAAA